CUACCCCCUCUCCUCUUCUCUAUGUCCUCCCUGCUCUCCUUCUUCCCCUCUUCAUGUCCAAAGAGUUGGACAUCCAUCUGGCAAAGAUCCAAGGCAUGGUGAUGCCUGGAACAGAAGGCUGCAGGACUUCUUCGACAGGCUGCUGCUCCAACUUCAGGAAGACUUUUGAAGAUCUUCCUAAUCAGAUUUAGAUCUAAUUUUU
rnacentral:lncRNA from 1 species